UACGGAGGGUGCAAGCGUUAUCCGGAAUUACUGGGUUUAAAGGGUGCGUAGGCGGCUUGAUAAGUCAGAGGUGAAAGCCUAUCGCUUAACGAUAGAAUUGCCUUUGAUACUGUAAAGCUUGAAAGGGGUUGAGGUCAGCAGAAUGUGGCAUGUAGCGGUGAAAUGCAUAGAUAUGCCAUAGAACACCGAUUGCGAAGGCAGCUGGCUGGGCCUACUUUGACGCUGAGGCACGACAGCGUGGGGAGCUAACAGG
rnacentral:rRNA from 1 species